CGUCACUCGAACCGGCAACCUCU
rnacentral:snRNA from 1 species